CAGGUGUUUGGCCUUCAGAAGAAGGUAAUAGACCAGCUCCUAGACAAAAAAAGUGGCACGAGCUUUAUCAAAGGAUUGAAAAAUGCCCGAUGCACUCUCGUGGCCAGACAACAUUGUUUGGAGGUGUCCUAAAGUGCACAUGUGGUUUUCACACUCAAAAGCCACCUAUGUCUACUGGACAGACACCAAGGGUCAUGCAACAACAGUCUGCUGCUGCUAUUGGAUCACCACAGGAGGAGAGUCAGCAUCAACCCCAGGUCCAGCCUCAACCUCAGGUCCAGCAUCAACCUCAGGUCCAGCAUCAACCUCAGGUCCAGCAUCAACCUCAAGUCCAGCAUCAA